UCGAUCGGUCAAUAAUCAGCUUGCCCUUGAUCGAAUCCGAACACAACAAGGUCGUCGAGGUCGAACGUGCCAUCGUCGUCGUAAUUGAAGGGCGCCAUGUCGGCGAAGCCGUCACCGUAACAGUGCUGCAGGCCGGAGGUGACGUCCCCCUGGUCCGGCCCAGGCGUCGCGGCGGCGUUCCGCAUGGCCUCGGCGACCGCCGAGCUCCCCGCGGGGGUGAGGCUGCUCAGCACCUCCUCCUGCUCGCCGGAGCCGCCGACGGCCUCCAGCUUCAGCGGCCGGAGGCCCGCCAGCAGCGCGGCGUCCUUCUGGUCGGUCUGCUGGCUGGUGUUCCCGGAGGUCGUGGCGCUGGCGUUGGGCGCGAAGCUGAUGAGGUGGGAGCCGGCGUGGAGCUCGUCGGCGAUGCCGGCCGAGUGGAGCACGACCGGCGCGACGGAGGCGGGGUCCCGGCAGGUGUGCACGCCGAUGUAGGUGACCCUGAAGGCGUCCGGGUCGUCGUCGCAGCGCUGCACCUGCCGCUGCGCCGCGCACUGCUGGUCGUACUUGUGCGUGCACCGGA
rnacentral:lncRNA from 1 species